UACGUGGGUGGCAAGCGUUGUCCGGAAUUAUUGGGCGUAAAGCGCGCGCAGGCGGCCUUUUAAGUCUGAUGUGAAAGCCCACGGCUCAACCGUGGAAGGUCAUUGGAAACUGAAAGGCUUGAGUACAGAAGAGGAAAGCGGAAUUCCACGUGUAGCGGUGAAAUGCGUAGAGAUGUGGAGGAACACCAGUGGCGAAGGCGGCUUUCUGGUCUGUAACUGACGCUGAGGCGCGAAAGCGUGGGGAGCAAACAGG
rnacentral:rRNA from 1 species